CAGAAAUCCAUCAAAGUCGUCAUCCUCUGUAUCAGAAUUGAACAAUUGUGCAAGUACCGGUAAUCCAUCAAAAACACCGUGUUCCCUCUCGUUGUCAGAGUCACUCUCAUUGCCAUGUGGCUCCACAGAAAUAUUGCCGGCUUUGCCAAAAACUCGAACAACAGUGCAAGCAGACACGUUCGUCCAAGCAGCCACAAUCCAUUGGCAAAUUGUGGCGUAACUCGCCCAGCGCUGCCUCUCACUCUUUGUGAAGUUGUAAACCAAAACCGAAGUUGUUUUGCAACAAUGCACAUAGCCACACUCUAUACAGGUGUUGGUACCUGCUUGGGGCGUCCCUUUAGCGUCCACUUGCAUGCCCACCCUUCACUCAUUGGCGGACUUCUUUGCCGCAUGCCUGUCCUCACUCACGUCUGCCUUUUCUCUCUCUCUCUCUCUCUCUCUCUCUCUCUCUCUCUC